CCUACGGGUGGCAGCAGUGGGGGAUAUUGCACAAUGGGGGAAACCCUGAUGCAGCGACGCCGCGUGUGGGAAGACGGUCCUCUGGAUUGUAAACCACUGUCCCCAGGGACGAAGAUGACGGUACCUGGGGAGGAAGCUCCGGCUAACUAGGGGUCAGCAGCCGCGGUAAUACGUAGGGAGCGAGCGUUGUCCGGAAUUACUGGGUGAAAAGGGGGCGUAGGCGGGACUGCAUGUUGGGUGUAAAAUCUACCGGCUCAACCGGUGGCCGCACUCAAAACUGCAGUUCUUGAGUGAAGGAGAGGCAGGCGGAAUUCCUAGUGUAGCGGUGAAAUGCGUAGAUAUUAGGAGGAACACCAGUGGCGAAGGCGGCCUGCUGGGCUUUUACUGACGCUGAGGCUCGAAAGUGUGGGGAGCAAACAGGAUUAGAUACCCCAGUAGUC
rnacentral:rRNA from 1 species